rnacentral:lncRNA from 1 species
GUCAGUCAACCAGACAUGUCUUCUGAGAGGUAAGUUUUUGAAAAAUACUAGACUUUUCUCAAAUGUAUUUCUUUACAGGAAUAAAAAGAAAGCUAAUUUUGCAUGAGCAUGCAGGAAGUCUGCAGACAGACAUUCUACAUAGUCCCUUGGGGACUCAGUAGAAGUGGAAUCAAGACCAACCCAAGCCCAACAAGGCAGCUCCGCUGGUUAAUGCCUCCCAGAUCUGUCAUCUGUGAUAAAGAGCCUCGCUGUAGCUGAGGAGCUGGCCAAGAACCUUUCCCAGUUAGCCAAGUUCGCUGAGCUCUUCAGCAGUGCUUUGGCUAGGCCACCCAAAGCCACCAUCUGCAGCAGACAAGGUCAAUUCUUCUGCUCUCAUGCCUUGGCCAUCAUGACCAGCUAGCUCCACUGUGUUGCUGGCCAGGGCCAGCACUGCUGGUGAAGCUGGUUCUCCUGAGAUCCAGACCAGAGGUGAUGGUGUUUGUUCAGGUGCAGAGCGGACCGCAGUCCUUUGUUCGUCCUACCUUGAUGCCUGUCGUAGCCCAAGGACUCAAGAAGAUCAAGUAAAAUGAAACCCAGGCAGCACAGAGCGGGAGGAAGUCAGAGACAGGCACACUGUAGUGCCAUCCACACACCUGCCACCCAGCUCACUGCACAAGCAGGCCAUAGAUACCCACCUGCUGCCACACCACACAACAUGCAGCACACAGGAUGGAAAAUGUCGCCCAGGGUCUGCCAGCUACAUGCUCAGCCUGCAGCAGGAGUCAUCGCAGUGGUGGUCAGAUGGCAGAGAAAGAAAGGCGGAACGGCUUGCGCAUCAUGAAGAGUGGUGGAACUGGAGACUCAAGGAUGGAGAGGAGAAGCCUAUCUUGAGUGGGCAGCCCUGCCACCUCAGGCCACGGUGAAGUUCAAGCCCAAGCUGCCACUGAGGGCCAUGGUCGGUCAGUGACUAUAGCAGCAGCAGGGGUCAGUGUCGAUGACCGUGCUCAUAUUAACACUAGAGAAUGUGGGCAGUCACCAGGGACAUGGAUAGAGCAACGCAUAGCUGGCCCCUCUCCUCACUGGAUCCAGUGCGCUUGAGAGCCAGCCGCAGCACUCACCACUGGGCAGCACUUGGAGGAAAAUAAAUGUCCACCAAAUGGCUGUUUAAAUUAAUUAUAGGAAGUUAUACAAGA